CGGGCUGUAGCCUAGUGGCUAAGGCGCUUCGUUUGGGACGAAGAAACCGAGAGUUCGAGUCUCUCCAGCCCGACCA
rnacentral:tRNA from 1 species